rnacentral:rRNA from 1 species
AUUGAACGCUGGCGGCAUGCCUUACACAUGCAAGUCGGACGGCAGCGGGGGAGAAGCUUGCUUUUCCUGCCGGCGAGUGGCGAACGGGUGAGUAAUACAUCGGAACGUGCCCUGUAGUGGGGGAUAACUAGUCGAAAGAUUAGCUAAUACCGCAUACGACCUGAGGGUGAAAGUGGGGGGCCGCAAGGCCUCAUGCUAUAGGAGCGGCCGAUGUCUGAUUAGCUAGUUGGUGGGGUAAAGGCCUACCAAGGCGACGAUCAGUAGCUGGUCUGAGAGGACGAUCAGCCACACUGGGACUGAGACACGGCCCAGACUCCUACGGGAGGCAGCAGUGGGGAAUUUUGGACAAUGGGCGAAAGCCUGAUCCAGCAAUGCCGCGUGUGUGAAGAAGGCCUUCGGGUUGUAAAGCACUUUUGUCCGGAAAGAAAUGGCUCUGGUUAAUACCUGGGGUCGAUGACGGUACCGGAAGAAUAAGGACCGGCUAACUACGUGCCAGCCGCCGCGGUAA